rnacentral:sRNA from 1 species
CCGAAGGAGUUGAUACCUACUCAUAGCUUUUCUUUACGACGCUUAUUCUGAUGACCAAUCAUGUACGUGUCUAAAUUUAAAAAUUAUCGUUACCAAAUUUGAACAGCAGUGUUACCGUGAAAGUUUAUAGGCUUAUAUGUUCGUUAUAAUAUUCAUGGAAAAGGAACAGCCAGCCUCGCUGUAAAUGUUGAUUGAUCUCAAGCAGACGAAAUCGUGAGAAGACGCUUAAUUUUCUAUUUCGUGAAUCAAAUAAUGUGUUUUGUUUAUUUUUGAAUGUUAAACUUUCUGGUUUUUAUAUUCACAAGGUUGCAUUUUGUUUGCUAACAAUAAAACAAACACAACUUU